rnacentral:tRNA from 2 species
GGUGGGGUCGCAUAGUGGCCUAGUGCGGUUGCUUGGAGAGCAGCUAUGGGAGAAAUCUCAUCGCGGGUUCGAAUCCCGCCCCCACCGCCA